CUGUCAAGACACCUCGGAGUGCUCCCUGGACUGUGAGCGUUCCCACGGAGCAGGUUGUUGCACAGAAGGUGUGAAAGAGGGCAAUUCUCCAGGCUUUAAGAAAUGAAGAAUAAAAGCGCAGAGGAAUUGAUCAAGGAACAAAAACCUCAGUUUUACGAUGAAAACAUCUUUCGAGCCGCUGUGAUGCUGUUCCAUUAUGAGGCGGCCGGUCCCCUAUGAACCAUUCUUGUCCUGGACAGACUAGGAAAGGGAAGCGACAACAUCCAGCCGUCCGAAAUCAGUCUUGGAGUGAAUUGGGCCGGGCCCCCGUUUCAGCAACGAAUGUUAACACGCGAUCAAAAUCGUCGCACUUUGUUACCAGUGGGGAUGGGGACAGUCAUGAAGAGCCCAAAGGCCAUUUUACUAAGCCCAUCAGCUGGGUAGUGACUUUUGCAAAUCAGCUCUUGGUACCUUCAUUUUGAUUCUCCUUAGAUGCAGAAGCAAAAACCACAAACCACAGUAGAAAUGCUUUAGGCUUUGUAACAUGAGAAGCUAGAACAUACAUACUGACUCUACUCCUUACUGUAAAUAUAUGAUUUUGACAAAUUA